rnacentral:rRNA from 1 species
AUUGAACGCUGGCGGCAGGCUUAACACAUGCAAGUCGAGCGGGGUGAUGGUGCUUGCACUAUCACUUAGCGGCGGACGGGUGAGUAAUGCUUAGGAAUCUGCCUAUUAGUGGGGGACAACAUCUCGAAAGGGAUGCUAAUACCGCAUACGUCCUACGGGAGAAAGCAGGGGAUCACUCGUGACCUUGCGCUAAUAGAUGAGCCUAAGUCGGAUUAGCUAGUUGGUGGGGUAAAGGCCUACCAAGGCGACGAUCUGUAGCGGGUCUGAGAGGAUGAUCAGCCACACUGGGACUGAGACACGGCCCAGACUCCUACGGGAGGCAGCAGUGGGGAAUAUUGGACAAUGGGGGGAACCCUGAUCCAGCCAUGCCGCGUGUGUGAAGAAGGCCUUAUGGUUGUAAAGCACUUUAAGCGAGGAGGAGGCUCUUUUGGUUAAUACCCAAGAUGAGUGGACGUUACUCGCAGAAUAAGCACCGGCUAACUCUGUGCCAGCAGCCGCGGUAACAC